UGUCUUCUAAAUAAAGACCAGUAUGAACGGCUAAAUGAGGACAAACCUGUCUCUUGCAACCAAUCAGUGAAACUGAUCUCCCGGUCCAAAAGCCGGAAUAACCCCAUAAGACGAGAAGACCCUGUGGAGCUUAAAACAAGCUACUAUGCACCACACAAGCUGCAACUAGUAAGUAGUUUUAAGUUGGGGCGACUUCGGACCAAAAAAACUUCCGAGCACAGAACCACCCACUCUUACCAAGACCAACAAGUCAAAGCCCAAAAACGACCCAGUAACACUGAUCAACGAACCAAGUUACCCCAGGGAUAACAGCGCCAUCUUCUUCAAGAGUUCAUAUCGACAAGAAGGUUUACGACCUCGAUGUUGGAUCAGGACACCCCAAUGGUGCAGCCGCUAUUAAAGGUUCGUUUGUUCAACGAUUAACAGU
rnacentral:rRNA from 1 species